UACGAAGGGUGCUAGCGUUGUUCGGAAUUACUGGGCGUAAAGCGCACGUAGGCGGAUUUGUUAGUCAGGGGUGAAAUCCCGGGGCUCAACCUCGGAACUGCCUUUGAUACUGCAAGUCUCGAGUCCGGAAGAGGUGAGUGGAAUUCCUAGUGUAGAGGUGAAAUUCGUAGAUAUUAGGAAGAACACCAGUGGCGAAGGCGGCUCACUGGUCCGGUACUGACGCUGAGGUGCGAAAGCGUGGGGAGCAAACAGG
rnacentral:rRNA from 1 species